rnacentral:rRNA from 1 species
CGUGUCCAUUAGUUGUCUUUAAUGCACCCAGUCUCAUCUGAUCCAGGAAGCUAAGCAGGGUUGGGCCUGGCUAGUACUUGGAUGGGAGAAAACAUUUAUAUAAUCAAGAGGUGGCAUCA